AUGCCUGUUGCACAAUGGAUCUUGCGUUGGACUUCUAAUCCAAAAGUUGUGGCUUCGAAUCCCACCUGAAAUG